rnacentral:rRNA from 1 species
AUGGGUAGGGGAGCUUCCCAUACGGGUUGAAGCAUGACCGUAAGGACAUGUGGACAGGAUGGGAGUGAGAAUGUUGGCAUGAGUAGCGAGAUGUGGGUGAGAAUCCCACAGGCCGUAAACCCAAGGUUUCCAGGGGAAGGUUCGUCCGCCCUGGGUUAGUCGGGACCUAAGCUGAGGCCGAAAGGCGUAGGUGAUGGACAACAGGUUGAUAUUCCUGUACUACCGAUAACCGUUUGAGAGAAGGGAUGACACAGUAGGAUAAGCUAAGCACACUGUUGGUUAUGUGUGCCCAAGCAUUGAGGCAGUCAAAGUAGGCAAAUCCGCUUUGAUAAUGCUGGGAUGUGAUGGGGAGCGAAAUUUAGUAGCGAAGUAGCUGAUUUCACACUGUCAAGAAAAGUCUCUAUCGAGGUUAAAGGUACCCGUACCGCAAACCGACACAGGUGGGUGAGGAGAGUAUCCUAAGGCCAGCGAGAGAACUGUUGUUAAGGAACUCGGCAAAAUGACCCCGUAACUUAGGGAUAAGGGGUGCCACCAUCAGGUGGCCGCAGAGAAUAGGCCCAAGCGACUGUUUACCAAAAACAUAGGUUUCUGCUAAGUCGCAAGACGAUGUAUAGG